AUUGAACGCUGGCGGCAUGCCUUACACAUGCAAGUCGAACGGCAGCACGGGUGCUUGCACCUGGUGGCGAGUGGCGAACGGGUGAGUAAUACAUCGGAACGUACCUUAUCGUGGGGGAUAACGCAGCGAAAGCUGUGCUAAUACCGCAUACGCCCUGAGGGGGAAAGCGGGGGAUCGCAAGACCUCGCGCGAUUAGAGCGGCCGAUGCCUGAUUAGCUUGUUGGUGGGGUAAAAGCCCACCAAGGCGACGAUCAGUGGCUGGUCUGAGAGGACGAUCAGCCACACUGGGACCGAGACACGGCCCAGACUCCUACGGGAGGCAGCAGUGGGGAAUUUUGGACAAUGGGGGCAACCCUGAUCCAGCAAUGCCGCGUGAGUGAAGAAGGCCUUCGGGUUGUAAAGCUCUUUUGUCAGGGAAGAAACACCGGCUCUAACACAGUCCGGGAAUGACGGUACCUGAAGAAUAAGCACCGGCUAACUACGUGCCAGCCGCCGCAGUAA
rnacentral:rRNA from 1 species